AUUGAACGCUGGUGGCAGGCCUAACACAUGCAAGUCGAACGGUAGCAGGCUGUAUGGGAUCCCUUCGGGGUGAACUUGGCGCUGACGAGUGGCGAACGGGUGAGUAACGCGUAGGAAUCUACCCAGGAGUGGGGGACAACCCGGAGAAAUCCGGGCUAAUACCGCAUACGCCCUACGGGGUAAAGUGGGGGACCUCUUCGGAGGCCUCACGCUUCUGGAUGAGCCUGCGUCGGAUUAGCUUGUUGGUGGGGUAACGGCUCACCAAGGCGACGAUCCGUAGCUGGUCUGAGAGGAUGACCAGUCACACUGGGACUGAGACACGGCCCAGACUCCUACGGGAGGCAGCAGUGGGGAAUAUUGGACAAUGGGGGCAACCCUGAUCCAGCCAUGCCGCGUGUGUGAAGAAGGCCCUAGGGUUGUAAAGCACUUUCAGUGGGGAAGAAAAGCCUAAAGAUAAUACCUUUGGGUCUUGACGGUACCUACAGAAGAAGCACCGGCUAAUUCCGUG
rnacentral:rRNA from 1 species